ensembl:snoRNA
AGGGUCAGCUGCACCUGUGCGUUGCAUUGGGGAUCAGGCUGCAGAGCCAGAGUACAUGCGUGUGCAUGACUGGGGCCACCUGCCUCCCACAGGCAGCCCUUUUAACCAAGAGCUGCAUGA